UAAAUGUCCCUCUGACCUGAGAUCGCCAUGGUGACUUGCAAGUAACUCACUGCACUUAGGCACUGGACUACCUGAAUUUCUAAUUCAGUAACGGAAGGUUGCUGGGUGUAGUCAAGUACUUGACUUGUCGGUGCGUGUGUCAAGAUGGGAUUGACCACUCCAGUUUAGGAGCUGUGUACAGUCGUGUUUCAAUUUAGCAAAACCUUGGACAGGAUAGUCCUAGUGAGGAGUCACAGAANNNN
rnacentral:lncRNA from 1 species